CCUACGGGUGGCAGCAGUGGGGAAUAUUGGACAAUGGGGGGAACCCUGAUCCAGCCAUGCCGCGUGUGUGAAGAAGGCCCUCGGGUUGUAAAGCACUUUCAGUGAGGAAGAACGCCUGGUGGUUAAUACCCAUCAGGAAAGACAUCACUCACAGAAGAAGCACCGGCUAACUCCGUGCCAGCAGCCGCGGUAAUACGGAGGGUGCGAGCGUUAAUCGGGAUUACUGGGCGUAAAGCGCGCGUAGGUGGCUUGAUAAGCCGGUUGUGAAAGCCCCGGGCUCAACCUGGGAACGGCAUCCGGAACUGUCAAGCUAGAGUGCAGGAGAGGAAGGUAGAAUUCCCGGUGUAGCGGUGAAAUGCGUAGAGAUCGGGAGGAAUACCAGUGGCGAAGGCGGCCUUCUGGACUGACACUGACACUGAGGUGCGAAAGCGUGGGUAGCAAACAGGAUUAGAUACCCUAGUAGUC
rnacentral:rRNA from 1 species